UGCACAAUACAGCUGUAGCUUAUUUAACUUAAAAUUAUAGGCUGCAUAGCUUUACCCGAUAGGCCUACAUCUAGUUUGCGGGGAUGCUGUGCCGUACGAAUUCCCUCCUGUAGAUGUCCUCUUUAGUGAACAGUAAUAGAUUCUGGAAACUCACAAACAGGGAGGAUCAGUCUCUCUUCCAGUGAUUUGUGCUGCGCCCCGCUUAAAAAAAAGUUCAAUACAUUUCAACUUCGGCAGUGGGCGUGUGCGUGAGGCGAGCACAACCGCAACGGUUUCACGGGAACGCGCCCGCUUGUCGCUACACCGUGUGCUCGACCACUUCACCUCUGCUGGUACCUGUUCAGCUACUUCAGCUCUCUGCGUGAGACGCUGAGGCAGAGAUGAGGGGGGAGAACGGAAAAUGUCCUGCCAAGCAGAGCUUUCUACCUGGAAGGGAAGGAAAAUUACGCUUCUGCAGCGUUGAGUCCCGUGAGACAAGGGGAAAUAUCUUCAUAUUUAUAUGACACUCAGACAGAAGAAAAUAAACAGACCUCCAGCAACAGACAAGAGGGAUCUGGCAGUAAUAACCCCCCAGGGAGAGGCACUGUUGAGGAGCGAUGUAAUUAGACCUGAGCAGCCUGCCAGCAGCAACAAGUGGACCAGAGAGGAGAAGAGAAACUUAAGUGUCCUUCUGUCCCUUUCUUCUCCUUUCCCAAACUAAAUAUCAGUGCCAUCAUAAAUUACCCAUAUGAGUGUUUUCUGGUCUGAUGCCCCCAUCAGCAAGACGACGUUGUCAGUGCCUUCCAAAACCAUUACAAAUGACCAUUACAAAUGUGGUUCAUAUGACUGUUUUCUGAUCUGCUACAUCUUUGGUUCAUGCCAGGAAAAGAUUGUGGUCAAGUUCAGGGGCGUUGGGGGGGCCUAGAAAUCUUUCAUGUUUUCACCUGUUUUCACCCCACACAGCAACUCUAUCAAUUGUGUCAUUUUCUGUUGCCACCUUGUUAUGCCCAUUUUCAAACUGAACCUUAUACCUACUUUACCUAUACAUCAUUGAGCUACAUUUUAAUUAUUAAAUAUCAUAUCGCUUCUGCGGUUUUCAGCAGGUUUUCUGCUCAUGUUCAAAAACUUCUGCACAUUCAGAAUCUCUCCCACAUAACUGUGUUCUCAGACAUUUUCAGAAUGCUAUUUAGAGACAAAAGUCAUAAUAUUACGAGAA